AAACCGGAAGACCGUGGGUAGCUGCGGCGGGGCUGACCCGUCCCGAGUGCCAAAGCUGGGGUUCUACUUGAGAUUUCCCUCGUGGUGCCAGGGUCCGGCGAGCAUCACGCCGAGGCCCAUUUUCCAGACGACCACGACGAGGCCGGGGUCACUGCAUUUUCUGGGAGGCACUGUGCUUGACAGUAGGAAGACGAUGCUCAGAUGCAGUCCCUGGCUGUGGAGUAACUUGAGCGUCUUGGGGGUGUAGUCUGUAAAUGUAUGAUGACGGUACUUACGAGCCGGGAGAGAGGCUGCCCCUUGCCGUCUUUCUGACUCCAUCUCCACCGCUCUCCACCUCGCUCACUCUGGCUGCCUCAUUUUCUCACACACUUCACUGCUCUAGGAUUUUCACAGUUGUUGACCGUUCGGCCUGGAACCCUCUUCCCAGUUGCGUACAUGGUUCUCUCCUUCACUAGGUUCAGGCUGUGCUCAAACGCCACCUUCUCAACGAGGCUUUUCCUGGCUGGCUUUGCUGAAACCACGCCCUCAGCCCACUACCAGAUCCCCUUCUCCUGGACGGGUGGUUGGCUUUAAUACAG
rnacentral:lncRNA from 10 species